rnacentral:rRNA from 1 species
CGUAGGGUGCGAGCGUUGUCCGGAAUUAUUGGGCGUAAAGAGCUCGUAGGCGGUGUGUCGCGUCGGCCGUGAAAACCUGCAGCUUAACUGUGGGCUUGCGGUCGAUACGGGCAUCACUGGAGUUCGGCAGGGGAGACUGGAAUUCCUGGUGUAGCGGUGAAAUGCGCAGAUAUCAGGAGGAACACCGGUGGCGAAGGCGGGUCUCUGGGCCGAUACUGACGCUGAGGAGCGAAAGCGUGGGGAGCGAACAGGAUUAGAUACCCUGGUAGUCCACGCCGUAAACGUUAGGCGCUAGGUGUGGGGGCCAUUCCACGGUCUCUGUGCCGUAGCUAACGCAUUAAGCGCCCCGCCUGGGGAGUACGGCCGCAAGGCUA